UUCUCUACUUGUGGUUAACAUGUCACAUUCUCAUCUCUUAGCAAUGAUCAUGGGCUUUUCUAGUUGGCAGAUUAAAAUAUUCAAGCAGUUUCAAUAUAAUAUGUCAAAAGCAAAAAUAAUAUAAAAUCAUCCAAAGUUGUGUGUCCAUGUUUUAUCCAGAAUAUGUCCUUCUAAUCAGUUAACAAUUGUGACUAUGAUCUAUUAUCAGGUCAAUUUAACAUUAGCACCAUCUCUGCUAAAAUUGUUAUUAUUAUGAAUUAUUAAUUUGGAAAAACUAACUAUUAACCUAUCUUAACUCGGGCCCCCUUCUUCAGGUCUCUCAUGUCAAGCUUUUGUCACCAUCUUCUGGCGAAAUUUAGAAUUUCAUUUAAGACAAUUGUCU